rnacentral:lncRNA from 1 species
GGAAAAUGUGUUUAAAAAGAAGAAUUCAAGACGUAUGCUGGCAUCUGAGGCAGUCACCAACACGCAGAAACGGAGCCCUGGGUGUUAGAGGAGAGGCUGGGAAUUGCAAGGACAGGCUUGACAGAAGGGGGAUUGGAGCCCUCAGUCUCUCUGUGGAAGAUAGCCUCAAUACUGCCCAUCAGGCUAACACAAAUGCAAGCAAACAAGGCAAAUGUCUUUACAUGAGAAAGCAGCUGGCUGAUGACGUCCCACAACUGAAGACAUAGACCACUGCAAACAGGCAGCAGGCUGCAAGGAAGGUGCAUGGAGACAUUGUCAGGCAAGGACUUGCCCUACAGCACAGCACUGGCAGCCUAAAGCACGGGGAUUAAUUUUACCAUGCGUACUUUCACUGGACUGAAACCAACUUGCACACUAUGCCAGCAUCCCCUCCAAGGCAGGUUCACCCUGGGGUGUGAUUCACAUGGCUGAUGCAUUUCUGACCACGAAGCUUUAGCACCAGUUCCCCCCUAGGACUGGGGGAAAGGAGAGCCAAAUGUUGUUCCCCUCUCAAAAUCUCUUUUCACCAAGAAAUCAACUCUGUGGUGAAGCCAUCUGUUGUGAGAAGUGUUUGCUUAUGAUUAACAAAUCUCCAUAUUGUAAGGAAACCAAAUCUCUAUAUUAAAAAAUAAAUCUUUUUAAAGGGAAAAUAAACA